CUCUUGAAGAAAAUGCUAGAGAGCUUCCUACAAUUUGGACACUCUUUGGACUACAGAGCCGUCUCAGAAAGAACCGAUUGAGAUUUCUCUUAUUACUGCUGCUUCUCCUUCAACUGAUUUAGCCCUUCCAGCAGCUAACUUCUGUGGUUUAAUUUUCUAUAGUUCUCAAUUUUUGCAUUGUUAAUUGAUAUAAGAUAUUUAAAACAUGCAUUUCAAAAAAAAAAAAAAUUGAAAACAUGAAUGGACCUCUUUGAUUACUCUUUUACAAACAUCGUGAGGUCAUGAUAAUGGUUUGUGUAGAGUGCAUUUUGGGUUUUGGGCGGUCUUUCAUUUGUCAAUUAUAGAAAGGGCUAUAGCAAAAAAUGCUGAAUUUGGAAAUUUGUCAUUGCAAACAAGCUAUCAUAAGUUGCAGUACAAUCUUGAGUCUUUUAAUUUGGUAAUGGAGAGAGCCUACAUAUGCAGGGGACACUGACAUCUUUAAUUAUAGGAUAAACUUAUCAAGGUAGACUUGCUGACAAGGGCAGAGUCAGAGUUUUGGGCUACAUGAUGUCUAGCAGAGAGUGUCAGCAUUGAAGAUGAAGCAGCCCCAUCAGAUGAGACUUGCACAAAUACAUUAGUUUAAUCUUGACACUGAAGACCUUACCUAGCCUCUUAUUCAUAGCAGCAGUAACUCUUUUUGUUAUGCUGUGGAACUCUUUUUGUUACUAGAUCAUUACUCAAGCUGUAUGUUCCUGAUAUGGACCGAGUCUUGGUGCAAAAGGGUCUUACUUGAUAGGAUUACUUCUGGUGGUUUUUUUCCCCAUAGCAUACCCUUUCAGUAAGCUGUUGGAUUGUCUCCUUGGAAAAGAGCAUUCUGCGGUCCUCUGACAAGCAGAGCUAAAUUGGUGGGAUCUGCAGGCGAAUGAAGUUUGCUUCUUACUACAUGCUCAGGCAGGGAAAGGUGGAGAGUUAUCUCAUCAUGAAACUUCGAUGAUUAUCUCUAGCUAGCCAAAAAGAAAUAUAGAGUGGGUGACAGCCGCUCAAAUGAGAAAGAUGCAGCAGACAUGAUAGAAUCAACUGAAGACACAUCAGAGGAGUUAAUGUAAAAUAGUUGGUUCUAACUACAAACAUAGAGCCCUUUUGCUAAGCCCAACCAUUUUUUGCAAUAUGUACAUAAAAACCUACACUAUGCCAAAAAGUUAAUCAGACGACAGAUAUGAUCUGUCGUUUGAUUGCAUGAUUUUCUGUCGUUUGAGGCGCUGCCGUCUCUUGUGCAAUCAGACGACAUAGAAACUCUGUUGUCUGAUUGCACUUAGACGACAGACAUGUUUUUGGUCUUUUGUUGUCUGAUUGAUUCCUCACGUGUACAGGUGUGUGUUAUGAACAUAUCAGACCACAGAAAUGUGUUACCUUAUAUAUAAACAGGCAUCAGCAAUCUUUAUCUUCUAUUGUUUAAUAGCUAUUUCAAAGACAGUAUUCAUGAUAUUUCUGUGAU